rnacentral:ncRNA from 1 species
ACUGAAUUAGUGAUCGGUUUUGGGCGAAUAUUAAUUUAAUUUUUAAGGAAAUUAACAUGUCACUAACUACAGCUCAGAAAGCAGAAAUCGUUGCCCAGUUCGCACGU